rnacentral:piRNA from 1 species
UAAGAGUAUUUUGUGUUCCACUUUCAUGUA